CACCUCGAUGUCGGCUCAUCGCAUCCUGGGGCUGGACAAGGUCCCAAGGGUCGGGCUGUUCGCCCGUUAAAGCGGUACGCGAGCUGGGUUCAGACCGUCAAGAAUGGCGGCGUUGGGGAGCGAUCCUCAACUGAUAACCGACUCAUAACGGGGAACCCCUCUUCGGAGGGCAAUCCCGUGGGAAGGUCGAGAUGCGAGACACCACUUUGGCAUACAUUGCCGGGUUUUUGGACGGCGAUGGAAGCGUCAUGUUUCAACUAAAACCGCGUCCUGAUUAUGCUUACGGAUUUCAAAUCAAGGUCACGCUGGCGUUCUACCAGAAAAGUUCCAACCGCUCGAUCUUGGAGUGGUUGCGCGAGAACUUAAAGGCUGGCGCAGUGCGCGAUCGAAACGAUGGAAUGAGUGAGUAUGACAUUGAAGGGUUUAUUCCGGUGCAAAACGCCCUGGAAUUGCUCGAACCCUACGUGGUUUUGAAACGCAAUCAGGUUGACAUGGCGCUUCGGUUGAUAGACGAAAUAACAAAUCAGCCGGAACCAUCUCCGGAAGAAUUUCUGGGAUGGUGCGCAAGAGUGGAUAUCUUUCAAGCCCUAAACUACACCAAGAAACGCAAACACACUUCUGAAAGCGUGCGCGCGGUUCUGGAAAGCAAGGGCUAUCUCGUACCCCCGUAACGACUGAGUGUACGAACAGAACUCUCGAUGGCGUUCCUUCUUCGUGAUCGGAGAAAAUCUAUGAGCGUCAUAAUACGUCGGCGCCUCGAAAGAGGCGGUGGUAUAGUCUGUCUUCAAGGUAACUUGGAGAUGCGUGAGACAGGUCGGUCUCUAUCCGCUGUGGGCGUAAGGGAUUUGAAGGGAGCUGCUCCUAGUACGAGAGGACCGGAGUGGACAGACCUCUAGUGUGCCAGUUGUUCCGCCAGGAGCAUCGCUGGGUAGCCAUGUCUGGCAGAGAUAACCGCUGAAAGCAUCUAAGUGGGAAACUCGCCCUAAGAUUAGAUCCCUGUAUUCCCGUAAGGGAGUAAGACCCCAGGUAGACUACCUGGUAUAUAGGCAGGGUGUGUAAGCGCAGUAAUGCGUUCAGCUAACCUGUACUAAUGGUCGAGGGCUUCAACCAU
rnacentral:rRNA from 1 species